GUCUGACCUUGAGGGUCUCUGAGUUGGAGGUAUGCUUUGCUUAGGAGAAAUUUCUGCUUUGGUGACAUCUUUCUGGGAACUUAUCACUCCAAAUAGUCCAACAUUUUCCAUAGAAACAUUCUUCCUUCUAUCCCCUCUGUACAAUAAUGAGCUUAUAAGUAGCAGUGCAAAGAGACCAAAGUCCAGAUAUUAGGAACUUUCCAUCAAAGUUCUCACUAUUCCUUCUUCUCUAGAUGUCCUUAACGAUAAAAUUGAGGUAAUCAGUCACAGUUGGGCUGGUGGUGGUGGUUGUGGCUCCUGGGUAUAAAGAGAGACAGGUCCUCUGCAGGGAGGUCUGGAGUCCUUUGGGAAGUCAUCUCUCAACUCUACCUGAAUAAGACAGCAGCCAGCUAUAAGCCUUGAAAAACAGGCACUGGAGUGCUGUGUGUCAGAGUGCCUUUUGCUAGCUGUAGUUAUGCAGCUUCCCUGGCCAGAAACAGGGCUGUAUCAAAGGAAAUCUUGUGGCUUACUCUUCUUCCGUGGAGCAGCAAAACCUGAGCCCAGGGAAUUUUGGUAGGAGAGGAGCUUCCCCAGGAGCACACGUUCUGCACAGCCAGCAAUUAGUAGGUCGCUGUGUAAUUGGCUCACGGUGGGAAGCAAACAGAGCCAGAAGUGUUUUCUUUUAUUGCUCUGAAUGUGCACCGUCCCUUAUUUGUGAAAGAAAAGCGCAGACCUCGGGAACCGCAAACAGACGCGAAGUGCGGCACUUCAUCCAGGCGGACCCCGGGCUCUUCGCAGCGCUGCCGCUGCCUGGUGCUGCACUGCCACCUUCCGUCGCUCCGCGCCGCUCCGCGCACACCUGCGCCGCCGCCCGCCCGCUCCGCGCCGCUCCGCGCCGCCGGGGUCAUUGCGCCGGGAAGGCAAUGCUGCGGGGUUGUUUCGUUGGGAAAGCAGCGUUGCUCCUCACCGGGUGUCGGCUGCUGGGUGAAAGCCAGACUGAAGGAAAAACAUCUGGUGCAGUGGAAACACAGCCGUGCUGUGGCUGCAGCUGGUGAGUGCCCCUCACCAUUUGCUCGCUGGCCCUCCACCUCAGCUCACUGCUUUCAGAAGGGAUACAUUAAAAAAAAAGAAAAGAAAUGCCAACAACCUCAAACUACAGGUCAUGCCAAUAAUACAUUACCAUGGCUACAUCAUGAGAAAAGCUGUAAAAUAAGAGAGGGGAAAGGAGCUUGAUUAUAAAACAAAACUAGCAAACAAAAAACAAAGAAUAAUAACAAAAAAGAAGAAAAAAAAAGAUCAAAACUUAGGCCUGUUUGGGCUACCAGUCCAGCCUGAAGUACACUUUGAAAUGAUGAAUCAGCUGGAGAGAAAAACAUAUUCCAGAUGUUCUCUGUGUCUCCAGUAUUUACUUCAUCAUGUUUUAUCCAGAGGGGUUGUUCCAUGGAAAUAAGUGAUAUAUCAAGUGUGAUCAGUGAGGAGAAAAUAUUGAUCGUAGCAAGUUUAAAAGGGAAGCUAGCAUUGGGCAAGCAGCUCAGAAUGAAACACAGACCCAAACUUUGUCUGCAGCUCAGACCCUGGGUUAUAACUCAAGUCAAGUUGCCACCAGCCUCAGAAAAAUCCCUCUGAGCUGUGGAUGAUGAAAACCGUGGACACACACAAAUGCGAUGAAUGGGCAAAGCUUGUCCCUGGUGCUGCUGGGCUUUGGUGGAGACAGCCUGGGCUGAGCCCCAGGGGCACUGAUUUCUCCCACUGGUACAAUCAGGCCAGUGGUGCCAGUGUGUCUUAGUGAGGCAGCUGCAGAAACAUAUGUGUUCACAGCUGGGUGCUGGCUGCUUUGGAGCAUUGCUGACUGCCCCUUUUGACCAUCCCUGUCCCUCUCCUGCACUUCUCCUUUGGGUCCCAGCCCCACUGUUUGCUAUCAGAGAGCUAUAUACCAAAUCUUCUGCCUCAAGCCCAGUCUAAAGGGCAUCACUGCAAUGAUAAAAGAUGUACAGCCAUCAGAGGUGGCCUAAAUUGCUAAGGUUACCAAAAAUUGGAAUAUGAGCCUAACAGUUCUCCCCCAGGCUGUGCUUCCCUUGAUGGUCUGUCCUAAGCAACUAACAAAAUCCACUUAUUUUCAGAAUAAAUACCUCUAAAGGGGUAUUUAAUUUGCA
rnacentral:lncRNA from 1 species